UUUCCGUAGGUGAACCUGCGGAAGGAUCAUUCAUAAUAAGUGUUUUAUGGCACUUUUUUAAAUCCAUAUCCACCUUGUGUGCAAUGUCAGGGUUGGUCUCUUUUGACCAGCCCCAAACAUCAACUAUUAUCUCAACUCUUUGUCUGAAAAUAUUAUGAAUAAAACAAUUCAAAAUACAACUUUCAACAACGGAUCUCUUGGCUCUC
rnacentral:misc_RNA from 1 species